rnacentral:lncRNA from 1 species
AUGAAACAGGCCAGAUCCUCCUGCACAGCCCUCGCUGGAGCAGCCCUGCCCAGCCCUGCAGCUGCAGCGUGUUUGCAGGUCACCUCCCCACUAAUGCUCCCCAGCCCUCCUGGAGGACAGCGUGGAGUUACAAUCCUGUUUGGAUGUGUGUGUUGCCAGAGCCGUAUCCCGCCCUGCCUGCCGGCCCUGCAGCGGGCAUGCUGCCUGCCAGCCUCCAGCACCACUCUCGUUGCUCUUGGCCCAUUUCACCUCACUCUGUUUUACUCCUUCCACUCUCAGGACGCGUGUUAUCUCUGGUCUAGAUGGAGGAUUAAAAGGGGGCGCUGUCUCAGUCCUGUUCUUCCCAAGAGCAGGAUGCUAUGGCUCUCAGCACCACCUUGCCUUUCUACAGCCUCUGUGUCCAUGCAGAGAAGCUCUGAUCCUCCUUCCCAGUCCUUGGAAAGCUACCUAAUUUGGUGGCUAAACAUCCUCAGGGUGAGAUGCUGCCUGGUGCCCUGUCUUGGUCCCAGCUGGUGUCUAACAAAUCCAUGCUCUCUUCUCUUCCCAGCUCAGUGUUGGACGUGCUCUGAGAUACCCCAGCUCCAGCAGCCCACUGCCUCCAGGUGCCAGGCGGUGCUUGGGAGUAGCUUGUUCUUGAGUGCUGUGCCUGGGGGCCCCAUGGUAAUAAGCAUCGUACAAACCCAGGGCAACCUUACCCCAUGGAGGCUUGCCAGUAGGAGAUUGUCCAGGCCACAGCAGGUGACUGAGCAGAGGAAGCACUUGCUAUCCUUGCCCUACUGGACCAGACCAUCCUUCCCUUGGCUGCAGAUCCCACUGGAUCCCUUCCCAUAA